rnacentral:rRNA from 1 species
CCUACGGGAGGCAGCAGUGAGGAAUAUUGGUCAAUGGACGAGAGUCUGAACCAGCCAAGUCGCGUGAAGGAUGACUGCCCUAUGGGUUGUAAACUUCUUUUAUAUGGGAAUAAAAUGUUCCACGUGUGGGAUUUUGUAUGUACCAUAUGAAUAAGGAUCGGCCAACUCCGUGCCAGCAGCCGCGGUAAUACGGAGGAUCCGAGCGUUAUCCGGAUUUAUUGGGUUUAAAGGGGGCGUAGGUGGAUUGUUAAGUCAGUUGUGAAAGUUUGCGGCUAAACCGUAGAAUUGCAGUUGAAACUGGCAGGCUGGAGUACAGAAGAGGUGGGCGGAAUACGUGGUGUAGCGGUGAAAUGCUUAGAUAUCACGAAGAACACCGAUUGCGAAGGCAGCUCACUGGACUGCGACUGACACUGAGGCACGAAAGCGUGGGUAUCAAACAGGAUUAGAUACCCUUGUAGUC